rnacentral:rRNA from 1 species
AUUCCAGCUCCAAUAGCGUAUAUUAAUGUUGUUGCAGUUAAAAAGCUCGUAGUUGGAUUUCUGGGUUCUUCGCUAGCUUUGGUCCGCAAGGGCUUCAGUGGGCUGUUUGAAUCCAUCCUCAGGGGGACCCAUGCUGGUAUUCAUUUAUCGGUGUGGGAACGCCUGUCGUUUACUGUGAACAAAUUAGAGUGUUCAAAGCAAGGUGUACUUGAAUACAUUAGCAUGGAAUAAUAAGAUAGGACUUUGGUGGUUCUUUCGAGAUAUUUUGUUGGUUUGCACGCCAAAGUAAUGAUUAAUAGGAGCAGUUGGGGGUAUUCGUAUUCAAUUGUCAGAGGUGAAAUUCUUGGAUUUAUAGAAGACGAACUACUGCGAAAGCAUUUACCAAGGAUGUUUUCAUCA